rnacentral:lncRNA from 1 species
AUGGUGAAGGUCGGAGUGAAUGGAUUUGGCUGUUUUGGGCACCAGGUUACCAGGGUUGCCAACUCAUCUGGCAAAGUAGAGACUGUCACCAUUUAUGAUUCCUUCAUUAAUCUCAACUACAUAGUCUACUUGGUCCAGUAUGACUCUACCCAUGGCAAGUUCAACAGCACAGUCAUCAACAGGAAGGCCAUCACCAUCUUCCAGGAGUGAGAUCCCGCUAACAUCAAAUGGGGUGAUGCUGGUGCUGAGUAUGUUUUGGAGUCUACUGGCAUCUUCCCCACGAUGGUGAAGGCCAGGGCUCACUUGAAGGGUCAUUAUCUUCUCCCUUUCUGCCAAUGCCCCCAUGUUUGUGAUGGGCAUGAACCACGAGAAGUAUGACAACUGCUCAAGAUUGUCACCAAUGCUUCUGUACCACCAACUGCUUAUACCCCAGCAAGGUCAUCCAUGACAAGUUUGGUGUUGUGGAGGGGCUCAUGACCACAGUCCAUGCCAUCAUUGCCACUCAGAAAACUGGAUGGCCCCUCUAGAAAGCUAUGGUGUGAUGGCCAUGGGGCUGCCCAGAACAUCAUCCCUGCAUCCACUGCUGCUGCCAAGGCUGUGGGUAAGGUCAUCCCAGAGCUGAACAGGAAGCUCACUGGCACAGCCUUGUACGUUCCUACCCGAAUGUGUCCACUGUGGACCUGACGUGCCACCUGAAGAAAGCUUCCAGCAAUGACAUCCAUGUGGUGGGACAGCAGGCAUCCCAGGGCCCACCGAAAGGCAUCCUGAGCUACACUGAGGACCAGGUUGUCUCCUGCCUGACGUCAACAGUGAAUCCCACUCUUCCACCUUAGAUGCUGGGGUUGGCAUUGCUCUCGAUGACAAGUUUGUAAAGCUCAUUUCCUAGUAUGACAAUGAAUAAACGGCUACAGCAACAUGGUGGUGGACCUUAUGGCCAACAUGCCCUCAUAGGCGUAA